ensembl:lncRNA
AUGUGUGUCCGUCAAGCAACGGUGACACACACACACACACACAUAAAAACCAUCACUUCAGACGACGGGCUUCAAACCAGCGUCAUCAUCAAUGCCAUGCUCUUCUUAGCGAGACGCAGAGCAGCCAGGCGGCAGCAUUGGCCGAGGUAUUGGUCACCUGGUUGGUUCGUUUGGCCGAGGUAUUGGUCACCUCGUUGGUUCGGUUGGCUGAGGUAUUGGUCACCUGGUUGGUUCGGUUGGCUGAGAUAUUGGUCACCUGGUUGGUUCGGUGCAAGAGACAAGUGCUCAAUGUGUGUCCGUCAAGCAACGAUGACACACACACACACACACACACACAUACACACAUAAAAACCAUCACUUCAGACGACGGGCUUCAAACCAGCGUCAUCAUCAAUGCCAUGCUCUUCUUNNNNNNNNNNGGCGAGACGCACAGCAGCCAGACGGCAGCAUUGGCCGAGGUAUUGGUCACCUGCUUGGUUCGGUUGUCUGCCCGGAGCAGCAGAAAGGCCUGAGUCACUACUCGUUCAGGUGGUCGUACCAAACACCUCAGGUUAGCAAAAAUACAGCACACUUAACGCUGCUCUCCUGAACCAAAGUCUGAUGAAAGCAGUGCACAUGACGCAAGUUAUUCAUGUAAUGAGGAAACAUUCCGACUACAAGUAAAACCGCAGCGGCGGCAAUGACACAGUAUUAAUUAGAACAUCCGUGAUAUGACUCGACAUCACAGGUUGAGGACACGAGCUGUUAAUAAACAGGUUGUUUCACUCCAAUUAAGGCAUUAGAGACGCGCAAGUUUCUCCUAUUUACAGCGACACAUAUGCAGCCCUGCUUGUGUUAAGAUGUGUGAGCGUGUGUGUGUGUGUCCCCCCCCCUCCACCGCAGACACACAACUGUGCAUUGAAGAGACACUUCAAAGGCUCAGAAAACCCUGUCAUCACCUGAGAUCUCCCUGAUCCUGUGACACAGUUUACGGCCUAAUUACUGUCUGAAAGAGAUGGUUCAGCUUGGAGGCUCAGAGUCAUUUUGGGCUACUUAUUUAUAUAUUAUAAUAUAUAUACAUUUAUAAAUUAUCAUGUUAUUGUACCUGCUUAUUACGUGGUAUUAUGUGGUAAACCUUGCAGGAUCUUCUACUUGCUGUCGAUACUUACAAAGUAGAAUAAUUUGCUCUCCUCAAGGUUAGGAACAAUAAUAAAAAAUACAUUGUUAUGGAAAAUGAAAAAAAGCAAUAUCCGAGUG